UAGGUGGGAGUAUCGACUCCACGGGCCAAUGUGUAAGCUACAGGAGGAACCUCAGUGGGAUAGAGCGCGGCCCCAGUUCUCUCCGGAGCGCAGCAGUGGAGGAAUAUGGAACCAUUGGAUGGAAUUUUGAUCCCAGCCAUGCCGGCGUGCAAGGAAGGCGCCCCUAUGGCUGUAACUGCUUUUAAUAUGGGAGGCAAUAAGGUCUACGCUAGGCCCGAUGGGGAGUACCAUAGGAAUAAGCAUCGGCUAACUCCGUGCCAGCAGCCGCGGUAAUACGGAGGAUGCGAGCGUUAUCCGGAUUUAUUGGGUUUAAAGGGUGCGUAGGCGGCCUUAUAAGUCAGCGGUGAAAUUUUGCAGCUUAACUGUAACAGUGCCGUUAAUACUGUAGGGCUAGGAUUUAGUUGCUGUGGGUGGAAUGUGUGGUGUAGCGGUGAAAUGCUUAGAUAUCACACAGAAUAUCGAUUGCGAAGGCAGCUCACGAAGCCAAGAUUGACACUGAGGCACGAAAGUGUGGGGAUCAAACAGGAUUAGAUACCCUGGUAGUCCACACUGUAAACGAUGAUAACUCGCUGCCGGCGAUACACAGUCGGUGGCCAAGCGAAAGCGAUAAGUUAUCCACCUGGGGAGUACGACCGCAAGGUUGAAACUCAAAGGAAUUGACGGGGGCCCGCACAAGCGGAGGAACAUGUGGUUUAAUUCGAUGAUACGCGAGGAACCUUACCCGGGCUCGAACGGUGCAUGAAUAUACAAGAGAUUGUAUAGUCCUUUGGGACAUGUAUCGAGGUGCUGCAUGGUUGUCGUCAGCUCGUGCCGUGAGGUGUCGGCUUAAGUGCCAUAACGAGCGCAACCCUUGUCAUUAGUUACCAUCAGGUCAAGCUGGGGACUCUAAUGAGACUGCCACCGUAAGGUGUGAGGAAGGGGGGGAUGACGUCAAAUCAGCACGGCCCUUAUGUCCGGGGCGACACACGUGUUACAAUGGGGGGUACAGAGGGCAGCCAUCCGGCGACGGAGCGCUAAUCUCAAAAACCCUUCUCAGUUCGGAUUGGAGUCUGCAACUCGACUCCAUGAAGUUGGAUUCGCUAGUAAUCGCGCAUCAGCCAUGGCGCGGUGAAUACGUUCCCGGGCCUUGUACACACCGCCCGUCAAGCCAUGGAAGCUUGGGGUGCCUGAAGUUCGUGACCGCAAGGAGCGACCUAGGGCAAAACAAGUAACUGGGGCU
rnacentral:rRNA from 1 species